AGAUUGAACGCUAGUCGGCAUGCCUAACAACGUGCAAGUCGAACGGUAACGGGCCCUUCGGGGUGCUGACGAGUGGCGGACGGGUGAGUAAUGCGUAGGAAUCUACCCACGAGUGGGGGAUAGCCCCGGAGAAAUCCGGAGUUAAUACCGCAUUAUGCCCUACGGGUAAAGCGGGGACCGUAAGACCGUCGCGACUGGUGGAUGAGCCUACGUCCGAUUAGUUAAGUUGGUGGGUAAACGGCCUACCAAGGCUACGAUCGGUUAGCUGGUCUGAGAGGACGACCAGCCACACUGGGUACUGAGGACACGGCCCAGACUCCUACGGGAGGCAGC
rnacentral:rRNA from 1 species